rnacentral:rRNA from 1 species
UGAGUUUGAUCCUGGCUCAGAAUGAACGCUUGCGAUAUGCUUUAUACAUGCGAGUUGAAUGGCUUAAAAAGUCAUAGCGAACGGGUGCGUAACGCAAGAGAAUCUACCACACAGACUUCGAAGAAUCGAAGAUUUAAAAGAUUGUAUCGCUGUGUGAUGAGCUCUUGUAGGAUUAGGUAGUUGGUGAGACAAAAGCUUACCAAGCCUAUGAUCCUUAGCUGGUCUGAGAGGAUGAUCAGCCACACUGGGACUGAGACACGGCCCAGACUCUUUUAGAGGCAGCAGUAGGGAAUAUUGGACAAUGAGCGAAAGCUUGAUCCAGCAAUAUCGCGUGAGUGAUGAAGAUUUUUUAAUCGUAAAACUCUUUCAGUGAAGAUGAUGAUGACCGUAUUCACAAAAGAAGUCCCGGCUAACUCCGUGCCAGCAGCCGCGGUAAUACGGGGGGGGCUAGCGUUAUUCGGAAUGACUGGGCGUAAAGGGCGCGUAGGCGGAAAAUUUUGUACAUAUAGUUUAUAAACACAAACUGUAUUUAUGUCUAUAUAUUACAAAUUUUCUUGAGUAAAGUAGAAGACGGUAGAAUUUUUGGUGUAACAGCAAUAUGUGUGCAUAUCAAAAGGAAUGCCGAUGCGAAAGCAGCCGUCUAGGCUUUUACUGACGCUGAGGCGCGAAAGCGUGGGGAGCAAAUAGGAUUAGGUACCCUAGUAGUCCACGCUGUCAACGAUGAGUGUUAGAUGUUGGAUUUUUAUUCAGUGUCUUAGUUAACACGUUAAACACUCCGCCUGAGGAGUACUGCCGCAAGGUUGAAACUCAAAGGAAUUGACGGGGGCCCGCACAAGCGGUGGAGCAUGUGGUUUAAUUCGACACUACGCGCAAAACCUUACCGAUCUUUGACAUACUAUAUACGUAAUACUCAUUAUGCUGGUUUCUGAGAGACCAUUAAUAGUACAGGCGUUGCAUGGCUGUCGUCAGCUCGUGUCGUGAGAUGUUUGGUUAAGUCCCUUAACGAGCGAAACCCUUUUAGAAUAGUUGUUAACAGGUAAUGCUGAACACUCUUUCUUAACUGCCUACAACAAGUAGGAGGAAGGUAAGGAUGACGUCAAGUCCUCAUGACCCUUAUAGAUCGGGCUACACAUGUGCUACAAUGAAAAUGACAGAGGGAUACAAUGAUGUGAAUCGGAGUUAAACCCCAAACAUUUUCCUAGUACGGAUUGAU